rnacentral:lncRNA from 10 species
GAAGGCGCCCCAGGCUACCAGGGAUCGCGACACUGCUCUCCCGGUGACUUUCUUCGGGCCUGAGCUUCCCCCGGCUGGACGCAGUUUCUGAGGGUCCUUCCGGUUCACACUCUGCCACUCCGUGAUCCUCUUGGCUCCGGAGUGAAGAACCCUGCGUCUUUGUGCACGUGUCUGUGCGCCUGCCUGUGAGGGGGGUGGGGGUGCAGAGCGGGUAUCGCUUUUGGAUUUCCAUAGCAACUGCUCCUGUGUCACCCCAUUGCUCCCAAAGGUUUGAGCGGUUGCUUGUACAAAUUUACAUAUAUCUGCAUGUCAUUAACAUAGAGGCGGGGCCGGAACUUGUUUGGGCAACUAUCCCUGGACGGUUCUCUUUGCUUCUUCCUCAUCCCGUCUGAUAGGCAUGUGGGCUGCGCAUGCGUGAGUGUUUAGCCUGUCCAUGUUCUCAGAUGUGGGGUGGAUGAGUGAGCUGUGACAGUGACCAUCAGUUCCCUUUCCCCACGUCCCCUUAUUGAACCCUUAGCAUGAAUCCAUCCAGAUAUCCCUGACUGAAGACACCCAGCUUCCCAAGCAAUGCCAGGCCUUGUUGGCACUCCAAUUCCUUUUCUGGCUGUGUGGCCUUGACAAGUUUAGUUACCCUCUCUGUGGCUCAGUUUUCUUCUCUGUAAACAGGGAUACUAAUCUCUAACUUACCAGGUGAUGGGAGGGUUUAACUGGUUGCCACUUUUACACACACUAAUUGCUGCUUUCUGGCCUACAGUAGGCACUCAGUGGUGCUCCCUUCCUCCCUCCCUGGAGCCCAACUCUUCUCAGAACCCAACCAAAGCAAAUCAACUUCAGUUGCCGCUUAAGACAUGACAACUAGACACCAGAAGAACUUCCAGAUGUCAGGGCAGACUGGAUUUGAUGCACAGGAUGAGGACUAUUGUUUUCUCUAUUUGUCCUUCUUGGAAGCUGGAGGUCAGGUUGACAUGGAAGGCUGAAAAGGAAGAGGAACUUCCAAAUAAGGAGAAGAGGUGCUGCAGAGAAGUGGAUCCAGAUUCAGUUUCUCUGCAGGGAUCCCCCCCACACACUGUCCCCAUCACACUGGCAAAACCUUGGCUCCUGCCUCCUUAUCUGCAAUGAUCUCAGCAGAAAAGAGCUCCCACUGAAGAGAAAACUGAGGCUUGGAUAUCAUAAGUGAUCUGCCCAAGGUCACACAACCGGUGAGGGGACAGAGGCAGGAAUCCAGAUCUGUGUGGCUUCGGAGCCUGAAGUCUUCUGGUUCAUCACAUGGGAAACUGUGAACCAGUGUUUUACUGCACAAACAUCAGUCAAGAGUCACAGAUCAAAAGCUCUGUGAGGGCAAGGUGUCUGCUUGCCAUUUCACCAUUCAUUCACUCAGUGAAUAUUUGCUGACUACUUACCUUGUACCUGGUGGUGGGUGCCACGGGCCCCAGCUGUGAAUGGAUGGACAAGGUCCCUGACUUCACAGAACUCACAGUCCAGGGGGGCAACAAGUUACAUGUGUGUAAAUAAACAACAUAUUUUCAGAGCAAUGAGUAUUGCCAAGGAAAUAUAACAGGGGUAUGGGAUGAAGCAACUGGGGGUGGGGUAGGGCUAUUUUAGAGGUGUGGUCAGGGGAGGCUCCCUGGAGGAAGUGACCUUGGAGCUGAGACCUUCUUGAUAAGGAGUCAGCCAUGGGAAUUGCCGGGGGAAGGGUUUGGAGUUUUCUAAGAGCAGCAAGGAGAACUCUGUGGCUGCAGCAUGGUGUGGGGUGGGGGUAGGGGACUGGAGAUGGGUCUGAAAGGCUGCUAAGGGCCAGGCUAUGCAGGGUCUGGAAGGCCACAUUGUCAAGUGCAGUGGGAAGCCACUAGCAGGCUUAAGAGGUGCCCUGAUUUACACUUUUAAAGAGAUGGCUCAGUUCAGUGGGCUCCAGGAGAAUGGACUGAGGUGGGGGAGGUAGGAGUGGAAGCCCAGAAAUUAAGUAAGGGAGAAUCUGGGCACUGGAUGAUGGUGGCGUGGACUCCCCUGUUGGCAGUGGGGAUGUAACGAGUGGAUAGAUGUGGGAUAUUUUGGGAGGUAGAAGCAACAAGACUUGCUGAUGGCCGGGAUCCCAGUGCCUAGAACAUAGUAGACUCAAUAAAUAUUUGUUGAAUAAAUGAAUAAAGGCGCC